UCUCCGUUGGUGAACCAGCGGAAGGAUCAUUACCAAUUAUUCAACUACCAAACCCUUAUAUGAACCCUACCACACUUUUUGUGCAACGGGAUGAUACUCCCCAUCGCUCUCUUUUACGUUACGGCAGAGGGCACCCCUACAACUUACCAACAUCACCUUUAUCUGAUUUGUGCGAACAUUUGUAAUCAUGAAUCAACUUAAUUCCAAAAUACAACUUUCAACAACGGAUCUAUUACUUCUCACAUCGGUGAAGAACGUACCAGAACCGAAGAGCAAACC
rnacentral:misc_RNA from 1 species